AUGGAAGCACCAGGAAAAUGGUGGGAACCCAAUAUUGGUGAGAGUGGUUCCAUGCAACUGAAGCAGUGGAGAAAAAGAACUGAGCUCCUAGUGACGCAAUCAUUGUUUGACCAUGAACCAAGACGGAAGGAACAUGAAAUGGAUAACAUGCUAAGAAUGGGGCCCUUGCUCUGAGGGAUCGCAGAAAAACAAAUGAGUGUCCAUCUCUUGUAAGCUUGGCCCAAAAGCUUCAUGUCAAAUAACCCUUCUACUUGAUUGGCAUAUGAAAGCAGUGGUAAUGAAGGUGAGCGGAAGUCUGCAUCUGCUCUGAAAUAUUUGGAAUGCCCCAGCAUUCAAA
rnacentral:lncRNA from 1 species